rnacentral:lncRNA from 1 species
GAGAGACGCAAUGGAUACCUCUGCUCCAAUCAGGCCGAAAAGAAGAGGUUGGAAAACGUCCCAGACCGAGGCCAGCACGAACCAGAAUGACAGAAAGGGCUAUGCUUCUCAAAGAUGACGACCACUUGUGCUGGAUGCGGACAUUAUCACUGAUGACUGGGACGUUCCUCAAGAGAAACCCAGCUAGCAGCAUGCCUUGAAUGGAUCAGACAGGAAUGGUUAAGACUAGUCUUUAAAACUCAUUAGCUCUGAGGAAAUCAAGAAGCAUUUAAUACUUACCAAGAAGAGGAGGCAGAGGAGGCAACGUUGGAAACUUAAUGAGUCCAAAAAGUUUACCUCCGGUGAUGGAGCAAUAGAAGAGGAUUAUAAUUCCAAACAGAUUUCCUCCAGGAAGACAUUCAGGGCCCGUAAUUGACCAAACCACGGCCCAUAGGAGAACAACCAUGGUACCUAAAACCCACCAACAAUGAAAAGAGUAAAAAUAAAUAAAUACACACACAAAAAAACCAAAACGCCUGGAAAACUACAUUUUAUAUGCAAGCUUUGAUGUAUUCUGAAAUUAUAUUUAAAUAAAGAUAAAUCCAUAUACAAAUGUUUAUAACCAUAAGUUAUAAAG